rnacentral:rRNA from 1 species
UACGUAUGGAGCGAGCGUUGUCCGGAAUUAUUGGGCGUAAAGGGUUCGCAGGCGGAAAUGCAAGUCAGAUGUAAAAAGCAGUAGCUUAACUACUGUAAGCAUUUGAAACUGCAUAUCUUGAGAAGAGUAGAGGUAAGUGGAAUUUUUGGUGUAGCGGUGAAAUGCGUAGAUAUUAAAAAGAAUACCGGUUGCGAAGGCGACUUUCUGGCCAUAAACUGACGCUGAGGUACGAAAGCGUGGGUAGCGAACAGG